GGGCUCGUGGCGCAGAGGUAGCGCACCUGGCUCUUACCCAGUGACGCGAGGGUUCGACUCCCUCCGAGCCCA
rnacentral:tRNA from 1 species